rnacentral:rRNA from 1 species
UACGUAGGGUGCAAGCGUUAAUCGGAAUUACUGGGCGUAAAGCGCGCGUAGGCGGCUAUUCAAGUCAGGGGUGAAAUCCUUGGGCUCAACCCAAGAAUUGCCUUUGAAACUGAAUAGCUAGAGUGUCGGAGGGGAUAGCGGAAUUCCUAAUGUAGAGGUGAAAUUCGUAGAUAUUAGGAGGAACACCGGUGGCGAAGGCGGCUAUCUGGACGACAACUGACGCUGAGGCGCGAAAGCACGGGGAUCAAACAGG